rnacentral:rRNA from 1 species
GUGAGGAAUAUUGCGCAAUGUCCGAAAGGGUGACGCAGCGACGCCGCGUGGAGGAUGAAGGCCCUAUGGGUCGUAAACUCCUUUUGAGAGGGAAGAAUAAUCUUGUAUAGCAAGGCUUGACUGUACCUCUUGAAUAAGCACCGGCCAACUACGUGCCAGCAGCCGCGGUAAUACGUAGGGUGCAAGCGUUGUCCGGAAUCACUGGGUGUAAAGGGAGCGCAGGCGGGUUAGCAAGUCAUUGGUGAAAUCCUGAGGCUUAACUUCAGGUCUGCCAAUGAUACUGCUGAUCUUGAGUGCAGAAGAGGAAGACGGAAUUCCUGGUGUAGCGGUGAAAUGCGUAGAUAUCAGGAAGAACACCGGUGGCGAAGGCGGUCUUCUGGUCUGUUACUGACGCUCAUGCUCGAAAGCGUGGGGAGCAAACAGGAUUAGAAACCCCUGUAGUCC